UACGGGGGGGGCAAGCGUUGUUCGGAAUUACUGGGCGUAAAGGGCUCGUAGGCGGCCAACUAAGUCAGACGUGAAAUCCCUCGGCUUAACCGGGGAACUGCGUCUGAUACUGGAUGGCUUGAGAUUGGGAGAGGGAUGCGGAAUUCCAGGUGUAGCGGUGAAAUGCGCAGAUAUCAGGAGGAACACCCGUAGCGAAGGCGGCACUCUGGGCCGAUACUGACACUGAGGAGCGAAAGCGUGGGGAGCGAACAGG
rnacentral:rRNA from 1 species